rnacentral:lncRNA from 14 species
GUUUCUAAAACAGCUCAGUAAAAACCAGUGAAGCAACAGUUCAGUGUUACUCAUAGAUCAAGUCUUUCUCACUGGAUAGCAACAUGGCCACAAAACUACCAUCUCAAGAGGAAUUUGAGAACUGGACAGCUUUUCAAGUUGCAGAUCUCCUAAGACAGUUUGGAAUGCCUGAAUCUGCUGUGAUUGUAGAAAAACUGGGCAUGAAUGGAUCUCAUUUCUUGAAUAUAUCAGAUUAUGAGCUGAGCCGGUUCAAAAUAAUGCACCAGCCAAAUCCCAUCACAGGUGUACCAAGAGCAUGGCUGCAGAUGGAGCCAUGCACAGAUAUGCUUUCCUGACUUCUGCACCAAAUACCUCUGCUAACUCAAUGGAAGGUUGUUUUCCCUCUAGACAAUACUAUACCUGUUCUUUUAGGGGGAAAAGAUUACAGGAGCAAAAAAGACAAAAUGUUUUCUCUGGGAAGAGUUUAUUGUAGCAAUUCUGGGUUGAUACUCUGAAAUAAACAUUUUUAGCUACUUUUUGUUUAGUUCUGU